rnacentral:rRNA from 1 species
AGUGAACGCUGGCGGUAGGCCUAACACAUGCAAGUCGAACGGCAGCACAGUAAGAGCUUGCUCUUACGGGUGGCGAGUGGCGGACGGGUGAGGAAUACAUCGGAAUCUACUUUUUCGUGGGGGAUAACGUAGGGAAACUUACGCUAAUACCGCAUACGACCUACGGGUGAAAUCAGGAGAUCUUCGGACCUUGCGCGAUUGAAUGAGCCGAUGUCGGAUUAGCUAGUUGGCGGGGUAAAGGCCCAUCAAGGCGACGAUCCGUAGCUGGUCUGAGAGGAUGAUCAGCCACACUGGAACUGAGACACGGUCCAGACUCCUACGGGAGGCAGCAGUGGGGAAUAUUGGACAAUGGGCGAAAGCCUGAUCCAGCCAUACCGCGUGGGUGAAGAAGGCCUUCGGGUUGUAAAGCCCUUUUGUUGGGAAAGAAAAGCAGCAGGUUAAUACCUCGCUGUUCUGACGGUACCCAAAGAAUAAGCACCGGCUAACUUCGUG